CAUCACCUGUCAAGGCAAACAAUUUGAUUCGGGUAAAGUAUAUCCAGUAAAUGGCAAUAUAACCACUAUAGCUCUUUCACAUUGUCCCACAAAAAGCCAGAGGGUUGGAUUUGAGAAGCAAAGUGUGCAUAGUCUUUUCACACUGUGUAAAAGCUCUAUUCUGUUGCCCCAAUGCUCUCAGCUACAGAUUUUACAGCACCACUGGAGGUUGAUGUAAAUGUUACUGGAGCUGGAGCUCUCUUGGUUCAGGAAGAAUGUCUUAAUGUCUUAUAUACUCAUAUAAAAAGUUAUCUGCUGACCAGUGUUAUAGCUAAAAUAAAUAAAUAAAAUGCAUCUAGCAUGUCAUUGUUUUGCUUAUGUGUGUGUGUUUUUGUUUUUUUGUUUUGUUUUUGCCUUUGUGUUGUAGGUACUGUCCCUGAUUCUGCAUUUCAUUUGUGCACUAUACAGCUGGUAUGAAUGUGGAAUUCAGUGAAUGAAUUUGAACAUCAUCAGCUUAACUUCAAAUUCAUCUCUGCUACCCUUUAUGUAACAAACUCUGACCAUGACUACAGCCACUGUGCGCUAGUCACACACUGUUCUUUGGUUUAAAUCCAUGCUGUUUUUGUUUGUUUUUUUGCAGCAUGUUUCACAACUUGAAAAACACAAUCGCACAUAUACAGACCCAGUAUUUAAAUACAUGAGUACUUAAAUAUAAGCUUUACAUUUCCAGUUUAUCAAACACCACUGAGCAGUCCUUACCUUUAAGUCUAACCUCUCUUCUUCCUUUCUAGUUCUGGCUUUCUUACCUUGCUCCAUGUCUAAGUAAAUUUAACUCUAUUUCUUUUCUCUCCCUGUGAAAUACAUGUCCUGACACAAAAAAAUUACACACUUAUGCUCACUCUUCUUCUGCAUGGCUAGCUAGAUGCUGAAGUACCACAACUUAUGGACACCCACAGUCAUUCCAAUGUAGUAGCAAAACAAACAAACAAAACAAAUAAAUAAAAACAUGCCCACUUUAACCUCUGACUAUGGCACACAAUUUUGCCCCUUUCAUCUGUUUUUAU
ensembl:lncRNA